GGCUGCUGAUGGUUGUUCGUGGUUGUUUUAUCCUUCUGGGCAUAACUUUUCUUUGCACAUUUUUUGUCUCCAAAUAACAGUUUGUCUUGGCACUUGGAAUUUGCUCAUCUGUGCAGAAAGCUACAACUCUACAAGAAGCCGUUGCUCAACAAGUGUCUCUCUGUCCAUCCUGCAAGUGCAAUGUUUCUGGAGCAGCACUGCCCAGUAAGAAGAAACUGCUUUGCUCUCCUCACACAGUUUUGCAGAAGGUGUUAGCAAGAGCAGCAGUUUUCCACUGGGUCUUGCAAGGGGAGCUAUUGAUUAUCCUUACUGCUUAUAGAUGUCUGAUUAAAAC
rnacentral:lncRNA from 1 species